rnacentral:rRNA from 1 species
CUCUGACACUCCCUACGGGAGGCAGCAGUGGGGAAUAUUGCACAAUGGGCGCAAGCCUGAUGCAGCCAUGCCGCGUGUAUGAAGAAGGCCUUCGGGUGUAAAGUACUUUCAGCAGUGAGGAAGGCGGAGUCGUUAAUAGCGGCCUCGUUUGACGUUAGCUGCAGAAGAAGCACCGGCUAACUCCGUGCCAGCAGCCGCGGUAAUACGGAGGGUGCGAGCGUUAAUCGGAAUUACUGGGCGUAAAGCGCAUGCAGGUGGUUGUUAAGUCAGAUGUGAAAGCCCGGGGCUCAACCUCGGAAUUGCAUUUGAAACUGGCAGACUAGAGUACUGUAGAGGGGGUAGAAUUUCAGGUGUAGCGGUGAAAAUGCGUAGAGAUCUGAAGGAAUACCGGUGGCGAAGGCGGCCCCCUGGACAGAUACUGACACUCAGAUGCGAAAGCGUGGGGAGCAAACAGGAUUAGAUACCCUGGUAG